CUCUACACCCUUUGUGACAUACCUAUAACUGUUGCUUCGGCGGGUAGGGUCUCCGUGACCCUCCCGGCCUCCCGCCCCCGGGCGGGUCGGCGCCCGCCGGAGGAUAACCAAACUCUGAUUUAACGACGUUUCUUCUGAGUGGUACAAGCAAAUAAUCAAAACUUUUAACAACGGAUCUCUUGGUUCUGGCAUCGAUGAAGAACGCAGCGAAAUGCGAUAAGUAAUGUGAAUUGCAGAAUUCAGUGAAUCAUCGAAUCUUUGAACGCACAUUGCGCCCGCCAGCAUUCUGGCGGGCAUGCCUGUUCGAGCGUCAUUUCAACCCUCAAGCUCUGCUUGGUGUUGGGGCCCUACAGCUGAUGUAGGCCCUCAAAGGUAGUGGCGGACCCUCUCGGAGCCUCCUUUGCGUAGUAACUUUACGUCUCGCACUGGGAUCCGGAGGGACUCUUGCCGUAAAACCCCCAAUUUUCCAAAGGUUGACCUCGGAUCAGGUAGGAAUACCCGCUGAACUUAAGCAUAUCA
rnacentral:rRNA from 1 species